rnacentral:lncRNA from 1 species
UGAAAAAUAGAUGUACAAAAAGUUGAGUAUUUACAGGCAGCAGUCCUCAAGUAUAGCGAGCAUUUACCGUGAUCGCGCUACUACGGUCGUGGUCAUCAGGACCGCGUUUGCUAUAGCUGAGACUGCAGUCAGCAAUUCUGCCAUUGCUCAAGAGACAUGAACUUAACACCAACUUUGUCUUCCCACUAGGUGUACAAUAUCAUGAUCAGAUAAAGUUAGCGUAGAUAGCAAGAUUGCAG